UACGUAGGGUGCAAGCGUUACUCGGAAUUACUGGGCGUAAAGCGUGCGCAGGCGGUUAUGCAAGACAGAUGUGAAAUCCCCGGGCUCAACCUGGGAACUGCAUUUGUGACUGUAUAGCUAGAGUACGGUAGAGGGGGAUGGAAUUCCGCGUGUAGCAGUGAAAUGCGUAGAGAUGCGGAGGAACACCGAUGGCGAAGGCAGCCCCCUGGGCCAACACUGACGCUCAGGCACGAAAGCGUGGGGAGCAAACAGG
rnacentral:rRNA from 1 species